AACCCUUUAUUUUUUUUUUUUUAUUCUUCAUCUUCGUCUUCACUCUGCUUUUACUCAAGCAAAUUAGGUCAGAAUUUUGAUCGAGAAUAGGAGAGAAAAAGGUGAAGAUGAAGUGAAUUGAAGACAAAAGCAGCCGUUUGGUGGCUUUCUUCAGGAGGCAAAAUAGAUUGGCGAAGAAGGCUCGCGAACUCUCCGUUCUUUGCAAUGUUGAAAUCGGUGUAAUCAACUUCUCUAGCAUCGACAAUAAUCUCUACAAGUUCUGUAGCAAUGACAGUUUGGUAAAGAUUCUCAAAGAAUAUCAGACGCAUCUUGAAGGGGUAGCUACAUUUGUUGGGUCAAGUUUGUAGUGCGGUUGUUGUAAGAAGACUUUCUCUCGUAAGGAAACACAUCUUUAAUUGAUUGUCGCUUAUGGGUCCAUAAAAUAUGACGAUUCUAUGCCCUUGGCUACUGAAUUUCUUAGGUGCAAAAAUGCUAUCCAUUGGUAUUGUUUUAUGGCUUAUGUAGAUAGCGUUCAUACACAUUCGCAUUGAGAUUAGAUGUGAAUAUAUCCAAAUAUUAGAAUAGUAUCUGCAUUUCAACUACAAUGGUUUCUAGUUCCCUAAUUGGGUAGUUUAUAGUCCUCCAUGUCCUUUUGUUUUCCUUUCUCUUUUCAAUAUCUAGUUAUUUGGUGCUUCUAUGGCUGCAAUCUUUUUGAACCGUCUAAUUUGUCUAGUGGAAGAAAAGGUGAACUAAUGAAGUAAUCUAAUUUUCGAGUUUAAUGCAACAGCUAAAUGUUGCGAUUAGAACUGAUAUUUUGAAGUCUGAGAACCUAACGAGUUCUGGAUUGGGUGUGCAUAGUUAGUCAAACGAAUUUACACAAGCGAUUAUAGGAAAAUUUAAUUGCAACUGAAAUUUUCUUCGUAGAUUGAAAGUUUGGGGUACAAAUUGGUCUGCAUUCUUCAGGAAAGGGAACCUAUUGUGGCCUUGUAUGUUACAUAUGAGAUGAAAAUGCUGGCUUUCUCAGGUUCUACUCAUGGCUAAACCAAGGAUGAAUUUGAGGAGAUCAAGCCAUUAAGGGAUGAGUCCUUGAAAGCCUUAAAUGUAGAUUUCCUGGAGACUCUAGGAAUUGCAAGAGUUAGCGACCAUAGUCUACCAUUAUCCAAAAUAGCACCUGUACAAGUUGUACAUAUAGAAUAGGAGAGGUGAAACUUCUAUUGUCGUUGGUUCCUUCUUUUGGGAGAAACAUAUUAAGUAGGCUGUUACAUUUUUUAUAUUGGAUAUGUAGUUUAUUUUCUUUGCCGUACUUGCUUCAAUGUUAUUCUUUAUAUUGGAUUAUUAUGAAUAUGUUAUAUUGUUAUUAUUAUAAAAUUUCAUUUCAUUUUCACUGUUAUUAAA